UACGAAGGGGGCUAGCGUUGCUCGGAAUCACUGGGCGUAAAGCGCACGUAGGCGGGUCCUUAAGUCAGGGGUGAAAUCCCGGAGCUCAACUCCGGAACUGCCUUUGAUACUGGGGAUCUUGAGUCCGGAAGAGGUGAGUGGAACUCCGAGUGUAGAGGUGAAAUUCGUAGAUAUUCGGAAGAACACCGGUGGCGAAGGCGGCGACCUGGUCCGUGACUGACGCUGAGGCGCGAAAGCGUGGGGAGCAAACAGG
rnacentral:rRNA from 1 species